GAUGAACGCUGGCGGCGUGCCUAAUACAUGCAAGUCGAGCGAACAGACGAGGAGCUUGCUCCUCUGACGUUAGCGGCGGACGGGUGAGUAACACGUGGAUAACCUCCCUAUAAGACUGGGAUAACUUCGGGAACCCGGAGCUAAUACCGGAUAAUAUAUUGAACCGCAUGGUUCAAUAGUGAAAGACGGUUUUGCUGUCACUUAUAGAUGGAUCCGCGCCGCAUUAGCUAGUUGGUAAGGUAACGGCUUACCAAGGCGACGAUGCGUAGCCGACCUGAGAGGGUGAUCGGCCACACUGGAACUGAGACACGGUCCAGACUCCGACGGGAGGCAGCAGUAGGGAAUCUUCCGCAAUGGGCGAAAGCCUGACGGAGCAACGCCGCGUGAGUGAUGAAGGUCUUCGGAUCGGAAAACUCUGUUAUUAGGGAAGAACAAAUGUGUAAGUAACUAUGCACGUCUUGACGGUACCUAAUCAGAAAGCCACGGCUAACUACGUG
rnacentral:rRNA from 1 species